GCCGGAAUAGCUCAGUUGGUAGAGCAGA
rnacentral:tRNA from 17 species